AUCGGGAAGAGGAAGAAUGAGGGUCUAAGAAUGCUGGGAAUAGGAACAUGGAGGAAACCUUAACCGUUUGUUUCCAUCUCUAGGUGGAAAUUUGGCACAGUGUUUCCCAAUGCCUCCUAUUCCUAUUAUUCUUAAUCACUCCUUUCUCUUCCUUUUGACU
rnacentral:pre_miRNA from 1 species